UCGAAAUCAAGUGGAGAGAAAGAAAGAGAGAGGUGUAAAUGAAUAGAGAUUUGAGAAUUAAGAUAGGGAAGAUAAAAAGAAAGAGAUGAAGGUAUUUGUGAGCUAGAGAGAAAGAGAGAAUCGAUGAGCAGAACAAGAAAGCGAACAGAUGGAAGUCUAAUGAAAAAGGUUGCCCCAAUUCGAGAUAAAACAUAUCAGAUCCUAACUCCAUCUACUCCCCAUCUAAAAGAUUAUUACCGUAACUUGUAACCUCUAUCUACAUUUUUACUCAACCUGUUACAAAAAGCAGUCAAAUAACACCCUUACAUACUUAAAAGAAGUCGAAGAAAUACAUUGGAUAAUCAGCCUGAUGUAGUCCUAGAUAAUAUACAAAAAGCAGUUUGAAUACUCCUGGCCUAGGUCUGUAAGAACAGUUUUAAUCUGUUAAAAAAAGGCAAUUAGCUAGUAUUUUGAAAACAUGUAGAUGUCUAUAUUUCUACUUUUCUGACUUUAGUGAUACUUUUUACCGAUCUUUUACAAUGACAACAGAAGGAAUGAGAGAAAAUGAAAGAGAGAGAGAGAGGGGAGAAGACUAUUUCAAUCACAACAGUUUAACACAUGUUCAAUAGUAUAGUCAGUUGCAGUAUCCACACCUGCUGGCAUCUUUGCGCCUCGCCUCUUCCACCUCUUUCACUCUUGUUUGUUGUUGUUGCCGUUCGAAACAAGACUUAAGGAGGGAAGGAAAGAGCAUGUUUUGUCUGCAUCCAGAUAUCUGUAGCCAAGCAUGACGACACUCACUGAACGACAACGGAACGUCAUUUGUCACGCUCGGCCUGCUGCUUACAGUUCAGCCUGUCGGGACACAACUUACUGGAGGAUGUGUGAAAGAAGUUAAAGCGUUAGAAAUUUUUUUGAGAAAAUGUAAAUGUUAAUUGCAAAACCAAAAAUGAUCCUAUCAGAAGCAACCGUCAUUAUGCUUUCCGUUUGGAUUCCCAAGCAUAACCACUGAGACCACAAGCUUCAAGAAUCCGUCUUACAUUCCUUUCCUGCGACAUUCUAAUCCCAAGUCCGUGACUGUGACCUCUAAGCUUCAGACGACGUCUAUAUAUAUGAUAAUUCUAAAGAACAUAACAAUAAUUUAUCUUAAUUCUUAGAAGUUACUCAUAAAUCUAGCAUAACACCUAAAUAACGAUGUAACUUAAA